rnacentral:rRNA from 1 species
AAUGAACGCUGGCGGCAUGCCUAACACAUGCAAGUCGAACGGCAACACCGUGCUGGCUGGCUCUUUGGGUUGGCGAGGGGCGGGGGAGAGAAGAGUACGUCGCACUGCACUUUGGCGUGGGCUAUAUCGUCUGGACACUUACCCUAAUAGCACAUACUACCAAUGCGUUAGAGGGGGAGAUUUUCGGGUCUUGCCUGAGCUAGUGACCCGAUGUCGUAUUCGCUAGUUGGCGGGGUAAAGUCCCACCGAGGGGACGAUCUGUAGCGGGUCUGAGAGGAUGAUCAGCCACACUGGAACUGAGACACGGUCCAGACUCCUACGGGAGGCAGCAGUGGGGAAGAUUGGACAAUGGGCGCAAGCCUGAUCCAGCCGUGCCGCGUGGAUGAAGAAGGCCUUCGGGUUGUAAAGCGCUUUUGGGGGGGAAGAAAAGCAUAAGGUUAAUACAAGGUUUUUGUGACGGUACCCAAAGAAGAAGCACCGGCUAACUUCGUG